AUAAGCCGGGGUGGAGGAUGCCUAGGCGUAUUUGUGGUAUUGACCAUGUUCUUGUUUUUGUUUGUGACCAGACCAGAUUACAGAGGGGUAUUGAUUUGCCUUGCCCCCGCCCCCACCAUCACAGUGUGUCCCUGUCCAGUGUUGGUGCUGUGUGGCAUUGCUUGUGUCCAUAGGAGUCCAUCAAGGCAGAGCGGCAGAGCGGCAAGCAGAGCGGCAAGGCAGUUCAACCCAAUGGAAAUGGAUUGAAAGAGUGAAAGUCACUGGUCUCAAAGAAUCUACGGAAUUUAGCAUUUUGAAAAUCACAGAGCAAUUUUGGGUAGGUAUUCACAUGCACUAAAAAACCAGGCAAACAUCUGACUCCCAGGAUAAAGUGACUGAGAGCAGUAGAAGACUUGUUGAGCCUUAAGGAAUAAGAGGAAAAUUAUGUUAUGAAGUGCAGGAACAGCACAGACCCAGACGAGGGGAUGCAGCCCGGAGCCAGUAACCCGGCGCCUCCUCCUCCCCAGGGCGCAGCGCUGGCUGCUCCCCGGAUACCGUGAUCACACGUCCCAGGUCCUGAGAGCGCCUCAUAGGUAGACAGUUCUUUGGGACUUUUGGGACGCAGCACUUGAAGAGAGGUUUACCUAAACUUUCCUCCUGGGAGCCUGUCAUCAUUUGAAAGUAACAGAAGAAAGCUGUCAGGCUGAGGAAAGUUUCAACAGGCACUUGGUGAGAAUGGGAAGCAUCCAUUCAUUGGGAAAUCACGGGGACAGAGGAGGAAUUCACGGGAUCAGAGCACUGAGAAACUCCAGAGGCUUCUGGUUCACCGCCCUGAUUCCACAGAUGUGGGUCAGAGGCAGAGAUGGAAGUUGGAAUGGACAAGCCUGCCCUCUCCUCAGCUCUCCAUGGCUCUGUCCUCAGGCUGUUUCUGCAAUUUGACAUGAGGCCUGGCCCCAGGGAAACCAGUGGGGCCUCAUCUCCUCCCUGUGCUGCUCUGAGGUGGAGCCUUCUCAGGGUCAGUCCAGCUCUGGAGCCCCUCUCCAGCUCGGUCACCAAAGCUGUCUGGUCCCAGGGCAGUGUGGAGUGACAGGCACGCCAGCCAAUCCAAUCGGCCAUUUCAUACCCAAUGCAUGUGACUGAUAAAGAGAUAACACCCUGUCUCCAAGACACAGGCUUUACAUAAACAGCUUUAAUGACUUCUUCACUUAGGGACAAGACUCCUUAGUGGUGGAACCUCAGGCAUCCAUGCAGGAUGUAAGAAAGCUCCCGUAUAUACAUGAACUGAGAAGUGUGUAGAAG
rnacentral:lncRNA from 1 species